rnacentral:rRNA from 1 species
GACGAACGCUGGCGGCGUGCUUAACACAUGCAAGUCGAACGGAAAGGCCCCUUUGGGGGUACUCGAGUGGCGAACGGGUGAGUAACACGUGAGUAACCUGCCCUUGACUUCGGGAUAACUUCAGGAAACUGGGGCGAAUACCGGCUAGGAAUCAUUGCUGCAUGGUGGGGGUUGGAAAGCUUCGGCGGGUUUGGAUGGACUCGCGGCCUAUCAGGUUGUUGGUGGGGUAGUGGCUUACCAAGGCUUUGACGGGUAGCCGGCCUGAGGGGGCGACCGGCCACAUUGGGACUGAGGUACGGCCCAGACUCCUAACGGGGGCAAGAGUGGGGAAGAUUGCACCAUGGGCGGGAGCCUGAUGCAGCAACGCCGCGGGCGGGAAGACGGCCUUCGGGUUGUAAACCGCUUUCAGCAGGGGCGAAGCUUGUGGUGACGGUACCUGGAGAAGAAGCACCGGCUAACUACGUG